ACUAGCUUUUGUAGACCAGGCUGGCCUUAAACUCAGAGAUCCACCUGCCUCUGCCUCCCAAGUGCUGGGCUUAAAGGUGUGCACGACCACCACCCGGCGCUUUUCAUUAGUUUAACUUUAGAUGUUUUUCUUAACCUGUUAAAUUCUCCUGAAAAGCCAGUUAGUUAUUAGACCUUGUCUUUGUCUGUUAUUUUGAAAAUUCUGUCUUAUAGUUGUCACUAUGUCAGUGUAAGUUAUCAUUAGUCAUUCCACUGAGCAUGUUAAGUUGGAAUUGUAAGCAGAGGUUGCAAACAGUGUUCUUUGCUUUUGGUCUUUUAAAUUCUGAAGAGUUCUGCAGAAAAGUUUAACCCAUAAAAGUUUGAGUCAUGCGUCUGAACUAGUCUUACUUCUUGGUGUUAGGAAAAUGAUUAUUUUAUUUUUUGUCAUUUCUGACUUGUGUUUAUAAAAUCCCAGUACUCUCAGUGGUUUGAGCUGUUGUGGUAAUUAAUCUCUUUAAUCUAUUAUAAAGAAAACGAUACGCCAUUUAGAUGGUUUUAGUCAACAUGAUAAGCAGAAAGGUAGGUGAAUAAUUAAUUUAUUACUAUUAGUUUUAAGUUUACAGAGUUUUGUAAAAUGUUAUUAACUAAAGAGAAAUGGAUUAUACCCUGAAGAAAAUUCAAAACUGCUAGUCAUACCUUUUAUGGCAGCACUCAGGUAAAGCAGGAGAUCCACCUGCUCUAAAUACCUAAGUUGCAGACAUCCAGAGUCACACAGGGGAACACUAUCUCAAAACAAAAACAAAACAGAAUAAAAUGUGGCUUUUGUUUAGAGUGUACAUGACCUCCAUUUGCUGUGCUACAAAAAAGGACAGAGGCUAUGACAAGAGCCACCUGCACGUGGCUCAUCGGGCUAUCGACCUGUCAGAUACGGUGCUCUGAUGCUACGCCAGAGAGAAAGCAACCCGAGCUUUCUCCUGGUUGGAGCAGUCCCGGGGCUGUAGUUCUUUUAAGGAUUGAAUACAUCCCCAAUAAAACAAAGUUGCCAGUCUGACAUUUUAAAGAGUGGUUGUAUUCUUCCAUAUUGUAGGAGGCUGAUAAAAUGACACAGUAUGCUAAUCACAUUGACAGACUCUUAGCUGAGAGAUCACUUUACUAACAAUAUCCAUUUCCCUAAAAAUUGGAGAAUAGAAUGUUUGCAAGAAUGUUGUAUUCCAGGCAAGCACUAAAAAAUUUGCAUUAUACAUAAGUUAGAAGAUUGAACUAAUGGUUCUAGCAUGGCAGUCAGCUGCUUGGAAAAGACAGAUUAUAGUCAUAGUUCUUAUCUAUUUCAUCUGUUAGUUCAGAUUCUUUGAAGUAAUGAUGUGACUGAACUAGAUCAUUUCUGGGUUGUGUGUUGGUAUUAAAAUCAAACUGAAAUCUUAAAUUUAAAAGAUAAGUAAAAUAUCAGGUAAAUACUUUGGAAAAAUGGUUUUUAGUCUUAUUAUCUUUACUAAAAUCAUCUAUCAUGAUGUUAAUUCAUUAAAUAAAAGUUUUUUAGGAUAUUUGAAAAAUGUCAGUUUUUAUCAAUGUGUGUCAAGAUACUAUGUGUGAAGGAAGAGAGAAGCAUUUGAUCAGCUGCUGAGUCAAUUAUAAGUUGAGAACUCUUUGUUUUAUGGUUUUUACUCUUUAAAAAAAUCGACUGGCUUUUUGUUUCAUUGAGACAAGAUCUCAUGUAGCUGAGGUUGGUCUUGAAUUCCUGAUACUCCUGUCUCCACCUCUGCAGUUUUGGGAUUACAGGUAUGUGCCACUGUACCUAGCUUGCAUUCUGGGAGAAAACUUUUCAAAACAUCUUGCAUACUUUUUAAGAACUCAUAUCUUAGCCGAUCGAUGGUGGCGCAUGCCUUUAAUCCCAGCACUCGGCAGGCAGAGGCAGGAGGAUCUUUGUGAGUUCGAGGCCAGCCUGGUCUACAAGAACUAGUUCCAGGACAGGCUCCAAAGGUACAGAGAAACCCUUUCUCGAACCCCCCCUCCCCCCUCAAAAAAAGAACUCAUAUUUUUCAUAGCUCUACAGAGUACUAGUGACUAAGCUGGGCAUGAUGACACAUAGCACUUGGGAGCAGGAGGAUUAGGAGUUCAAGAUCCUGUGUGCACCUCAAUAAAACAAACAGAAAAAGCCCUUCAGUGUAUGGGUAAUAUAUGCACGGUUAAAUGACAUUCUAGGACUGUUGAUGUGAUCUAAAUUUUAAAUUUAUUUUAUUGUAAUUCAUUGUCUUACCAUUUAUUGACAUGGGAUUGGUAGUUAACAGAUAUGAACACAAAAUACUGUGUUUCAGUCAGUAUUAGUAGCCAGCAACAUUCGCUUUGUAUUUUUGAGUUAGCAGAACUUAACCUUUCCUCAAACCAUAAAUUCUCAGAUCCUUUUAUCCCCAUCCCACCAAGGAGAUAAUCCUGCUUUUAGCUUGCAUUCCCUACUGAGACAACCUCUAGUAUCUCAGCAGAUCAUUUUCAUAUAUCUCCAAGUAAGUGGUGUGGUUUUUCAUGUCUUUAAGGGAUUGCCCCCCACUGUACUGGUCUCUAUGCCAAAACUUUUCAUCAUUGGGGUCCAGGAAUGUUAAAAACACACAAAUGCGUGUGCACACCUACACCUGCCCUACAUGGAACAAUUUAAGAAACAACACUAUUUCAUUUAAAGUUUUUUAUUACACUUAUUAAGGUGGGACAGGGCAUGCUACAGUACAUGGUUGGAAGUCAGAGAACAACCUGAGGGAGUUGAUUUUCUCCUUCCACCAUGUGGAUCCCAGGGAUCAGGCUGUCAUCCUCAGCAGAAAGCUCCUUUACUACUGAGUCACCUUGCCUAGCCCCAGAAACUUGUUUCAUAUAUAAUGAGUUUUAUUUUUUGCAUUAAAGUGGAUGCAUAAAUAACAAUACUAUGUAAGAUCUCCUGCUUCUUCUACCCAAGGCUCUAGGGUAGACAGUUGUUUUGGCAGCAGAUGCUAGAAUGAGGAGGGAAUCUGACAACUGAAGUCAGAGAACAAAGCUUCCACCUGUGUGGGGUUGGUUUGAACCCCUGUUCAGUGGUCUAUAAGUCAAGGAAGAAACUGUGUAAUUAGCACCCCAGGGCCUCCCUUUAUUUCUACCCUUGUGUAAUCACGUUGUAAGAUCCACAGGCAGGAAAUUGGUUUUGUUCAUGUUUUUAUUUCGAAUAUCUGUUUCUUCAGAACAAUGUAGGAUGGCAAGGAGGGAGGAGUGUAGAGGUCCUUUUGGUAUAGGUUGGGCAGCUAUAAUCUGACAGUUAACUAUUCUGUUUAAAAUAGCACAGGAUUGUUGUAUAAUUCUAUAAAUACUUAAAAUUUUUAAAAUUUGCAAGGUACAAAUAUAAUGAGCUCCAUGUAGCCAUCUAUUGAUCCGCCCUUCCUCACAGAGGUUUUCCAUCCCCUGUUGCUGCACUGAUCAGAUGCACUGUCUUCCCUCUAAGUAGGUGAAUGACUAAUGGACUGUUUGAGUGCUCGGGGCACAGCCUGCAGCUGUUGGUCCUUAGUUACCCUCUAUCCGAAGACUCACGGAGUAUAACUUUACCCUUUGUUCACUAAAUGUGUUAAUUUAGCCCUGGAGAAUUACCUGUUAAUUGUCCCUUAUUUCUGAGUGGCAAAUAUAUUAUUUUUGGUUAAACAUUAUACUAAAUUGAAAUAACUUUGUGUGUGGUGUGGUGGUGGUAUUGGUGAUUGAACUUGGGAUUUCACACAUUUUAGGCAAGCGUUCUUCUGCAGAGCUAACAUCCCAGCUAUUUGCUUUACUUUUACAAGUUUCACUAACUUACUUCGACUGGCUUUGAAUUCCAGCUCUUCUAGCUUAGCUGCCUGAAGGGCUAGGAUUGUGGGAGUGUGUUACCAUACCUAGCCUAAAAUAACUUUUAAGUACCACAUAAGCCUUGUGAACUGAAAAGUUGUAAUAUUUUGAAUUGACUUAGUUUGAGGAGCAAAUUUAAACUUAAUGAACUCAUUCCAGAAUUUAUUUUUUAAAUUUAUGUGUAUUUAUUUUGUAUGCAUGUGUGUAAGUGUGUGUGUGUUCACACGUCCACAGCUGCAUGUGGAAGUCAGAGGACAACUUGUACCUUAGGGGUCCUAGGCAUUGAACUCAGGUCAUCAUAUUGCCAGCCCAGUAAGCUAUUUUUUUGGCAUCUGUAUUUUCUUUUAAGCUUUUGUGAUGCUGGGAAUGGAACCCAGACCUUCAUACAUGCUAGGCAAAUGCUCCAUCACUGAUCUCUUUGCUCAGUUAAAUAAUGUGCUAUUUUUUUUUUAAAUCCUGCUGCUGUUUGCUUUUGAGAUAGAAUCUUCUAGCCUAGGCUACUCUUGAACUCACUGUGUAGCCCAAGCUGCUUCAACUUGAAACUUUCCUGCCUUAGCCUUCUGAAUACUGGGAUUACAACAGUACAGCACCAUGCCUGGCCUUUAUUUGCAUAUUUUGGGAGGCUGGCCUGUUACUCUUCUUGACAGUCCUCCUGCUUCAGCCUCCUAAGUGCUGGGAUUAUAGUCAUGAAUCAUCAUGACUGUACUGCAGCUUUUCUUUAAAUAUAUAUUCAGUAUAUAUUUAAACAUUUUUAAUAUAUAUUUAAACCCAGCUAUAUUAGAUUUUUUGUUUAAAAUGUCCUAAAGCAGGUGCACAUGCUAAAUUCUAAUAAUCAAAAGCUGUUCAUUGGAUUUACAUAAAUUAGGUAGGUCUUACACUUGCCCUUUUGCCACUGGAGCAUAACAUAAGCUGUAACAGUUGCCUUUGAGUACAAAUCCUUGGGAAAACAAAUCCAAUACUGGUGUGAGUGGGAUUUUAAAAUACUUAACAUGAGUUAAGUAGUCCCAUUUGUUACUUAAAAAAUAACCUUUCGCUUAAUUUUUCAAUCAUCUAUUGUGAUAAUUUUCAUUCUUCCAGUUGUUUAAAGUAACUAUACCAAAUGUAGGUUAAUUCUGUCUUAAACAUAAAAUGUAGAUUAUAGAUUUUCAGUGUGUAAAACAAUAGGCAUUCUUGUAAGUUAGUUUGAGAAAUCCAUUUUAUUUUAUUUGAGGUACAGUCCCUCUGCACAGUGAACAAAUAUAUUACAAAUCUGUGGUUUAAAAAAGUAUUGCCAUUUCAUAGUCUCUCACACUAUUGUACAGUAACUGUGUUCUUUAUUUUUCUGACUUGUAUACAUAUUAAUUUACUGGAUUGAAGAGUUUUUAUUUUGAAAAAUAAUUGAGCAGAUCUUUCCAGUCAUUGAUAGAAUGUGCAGUGCACGUGUUUAGGCUGACUGCAAACUUACUUGUGAUUGUUAGACAGAAAUUCCUAACAGUAGCUCUGCAUGAUUGAAAUGUCUUAGUGCUAACUCUUAGCUAUGUGAAGGCUGCUCUUGUCGCCAUAGUUAAUCACAUCUUUGCCCUUUCCCUCCUCCUCUGUAUUGCCUGUUUGAGUUAUGUUGCUUGAAAUGUUGUAGAGUACUACAGUUGGAGAGUUGAUAGAGCUCUGCUCCCACUAAUGUGUCUCUUCUUUCAUGUGUGGGAAAUAAAGGAGCCCAAAGAGGGCAAGUGACUUAACAAGAGUGGUGCCAGCAUCUCUUGACUUGGUGCUCCAGUCAUCUCACCUCUUGCUGAAUACUUCUGUGCAGAGGGUAGUUGGUAAGAGAGAAGUGAGACUUGGAAUUUGCAUGGUUAUAGUUUGCCAGGUAGCAGUUAUUGUACAUGCAGGAUAAGGGAAGAAGAUAAAGCCUGGGAUUGAGAUGCCAGUUCUCCUUGCCGAUUGGAUUUUGCCAUGCUUCAUCCUUGCUUCACAAAGAUAAUUGAGCACUUGUGGCCCUGAAAUACUGAGGUUCCACGCUACAUCAAGUGCCAUCUAUGAAGAACUGCUUGAAAACAAGUCAAGGGACUCCAACUAAAUUGAAUGAGCCAUUUGGAUGGUUUCUAGGGAAACUUAAUUCUUAUCAGCCUACACCUUUUCUAUGAUGCUGGUGAUCUACCCCAGGGCCCCACUCACCACCAAGCGUUCUUCUUCAGGGCUACAUUUCCAGUCCUGUGACUACUAUCUUAAAGUAGCAGCUUAGUUCUCUGGUACACACAGAAUGACUCAGAUGUUAGGCGUAUUAAUGCAGUGCAGCCAGGCCAGGACUGGCCUUCAUUAUUCUUGACAAGAUUUGGUAAAGCAGGCAUAGAAACCAUUCUAGACUGAAUGAAACUGCUGUGCUUUUGAAAUAAUUACUCUUACCCCCCCCCCUUCUGUUUUGUCUCCUAUCACUGAUAGGACAGAAGAAAGUGACUCUGUCUUUAUUAAAUUCUUGUUUUUGAAAAUGCAA